ACGCUGGCGGCGUGCCUAAUACAUGCAAGUCGAGCGAACCAAUUGAAAGCCUAGCUUUCAUGAGGUUAGCGGCGGACGGGUGAGUAACACGUGGGUAACCUGCCCUAUAGACUGGGAUAACUCGCGGAAACGCGUGCUAAUACCGGAUAACACAUCAAAGUGCAUGCUUUGAUGUUGAAAGAUGGUUCUGCUAUCACUAUAGGAUGGGCCCGCGGCGCAUUAGCUUGUUGGUGGGGUAACGGCCUACCAAGGCGACAAUGCGUAGCCGACCUGAGAGGGUGAUCGGCCACACUGGGACUGAAACACGGCCCAAACUCCUACGGGAGGCAGCAGUAGGGAAUCUUCCACAAUGGGCGAAAGCCUGAUGGAGCAACCCCCCGUGAGCGAAGAAGGUUUUCGGAUCG
rnacentral:rRNA from 1 species